rnacentral:rRNA from 1 species
AGUGAACGCUGGCGGCGUGCUUAACACAUGCAAGUCGAACGAGAACGGGCUAUAGCUUGCUAUAGUUGUCAGCUAAGUGGCGCACGGGUGAGGAAUGUAUAGGUAAUAUGCCUCUUACUAAGGGAUAACAAAUGGAAACGUUUGCUAAUACCUUAUACUCCUUAUUAACAGAAGUUAAUAAGGGAAAGAUUUAUUGGUAAGAGAUUAGCCUGUAUUGUAUCAGUUAGUUGGUGGGGUAAUGGCUUACCAAGACUAUGACACAUAACUGGUUUGAGAGGAUGAUCAGUCACACUGGAACUGAGACACCGUCCAGACUCCUACGGGAGGCAGCAGUGGGGAAUAUUGCACAAUGGACGAAAGCCUGAUGCAGCAACGCCGCGUGGGGGAUGACACAUUUCGGUGCGUAAACUCCUUUUAUAUGAGAAGAUAAUGACGGUAUUAUAUGAAUAAGCACCGGCUAACUCCGUGCCAGCCGCCGCCGUAA